GACGAACGCUGGCGGCAGGCUUAACACAUGCAAGUCGAGCGCGUAGCAAUACGAGCGGCAGACGGGUGAGUAACGCGUGGGAACGUGCCUUUUGGUUCGGAACAACUGAGGGAAACUUCAGCUAAUACCGGAUAAGCCCCGAGGGGGAAAGAUUUAUCGCCAAAAGAUCGGCCCGCGUCAGAUUAGGUAGUUGGUGGGGUAAUGGCCUACCAAGCCGACGAUCUGUAGGUGGUCUGAGAGGAUGAUCACCCACACUGGGACUGAGGCACGGCCCAGACUCCUACGGGAGGCAGCAGUGGGGAAUAUUGGACAAUGGGCGCAAGCCUGAUCCAGCCAUGCCGCGUGGAUGAAGAAGGCCAUAGGGUUGUAAAGUCCUUUCGACGGAGACGAUAAUGACGGUAUCCGUAGAAGAAGCCCCGGCUAAUUUCGUGCCAGCCGCCGCGGUAA
rnacentral:rRNA from 1 species